AGUUAAAAUUUUCAUCAAUUUGUACUGUUAAAUCUAGUAUCGUUGGUAGAAUAACUAGAUAUUGACACGCGUACCUCAUGCUAAAGUAUAGGGACCAAAUUUUAAUAGUAAAAAUAGUUAGAAAUUUUAACA
rfam:Gossypium raimondii Chr01_contig_126, whole genome shotgun sequence.